rnacentral:lncRNA from 10 species
AGUGCCGGGAUUACGGGCAUGAGCCACUGUGCGCAAUCUGAUUUUAGAUUUCAAACAGUAUAGGAUAAAAUUGAGAGAACCAUUUGGCAAUAAAAAAUAUUAAAACUGAGUUUUGCAGAGAAGGGCAUGAUCUAUAUAUCUACUAUUAAAAACCAUUCAACUGAAUAUAUUUCCAUGGCCAUCACACCAUUAUUAAAACCUCUGAAAAGACUAACAUGUACCAGAGUAAAGAUCCACAUAAGACAUGUGUAUUAGGGUUCUCCACAGAGACAGAAACAAUAGGAUAUAUGUAUAUAUAAACCAGAGUUUAUUAAGAAUUGGCUCACACAAUUAGAAGGUGAAGUCCCAUGAUGACUGUCUGCAAGCUGGAGGAGAGAAGCCAGUUGUGUGUCUCAGUCCAAGUCCAAAACCCUUAAAACCAGGGAAGCUGACAACGCAGCCCUGAGUCUGAGGCCAAAGGCUUAAGACCCACUGAGUGGCCACCAGUGCAAGUCCCAGAGUCCAAAGGCUGAAGAGCCUGGAGUCUGAUGUCCAAGGGCAGCAGGAAAGGAAGCGAGCAUCUGGCAUGGGAAGAAGAAAGAUUCAGAAGACUAAGCAAGCAAACGAAUCCCACCUUCCUUUGCCUACUUUGUUCUAGUCAUGCUGGCAGCAAACUGGAUGGUACCACUCACACUGAGGGUGGGUCUAUUUCUCCCAGUCUACUGACUCAAAUGUCAAUCUCCUCUGGCAACACCCUCACAGACACACCCAGAAAAAUACUCUUCCAGCCAUCUAGGCAUCCUUCAGUUCAAUCAAGUUGAUGCCUAAUAUUAUCCAUUACAAUAUGUCUUGAAGGGAACCAUGAAUGUGGCUGUUGGCACCUGGAAUUUUCUGAAAUCCAAUGCUAAGAAGUAGAUUAAGUUGUUGUAAGAGAUGUACCUCCAAAGGAAUCACCAGACUGAAUUAAAAGAGAUUCCAAGUAUUAAAGACUUAAAAGAACCCUUGGAUCACCAAACAUUUAGGGUUGGAAGUGGUCUGAGAAAGCUGUAUGGACAUCAAGCAAAAUGUAUUCCCCGAUGCCUACUUUAGAUGUGUCAGAUAGUAUGAUGGAAAAGAAAGCUGGGGCCAUGGAGAAUUAUGGAGAAUGAGGCUUCUUGCACAGAGCGUAUUUAAGGGCUGAGCUGACAUCCUCAGACCUAGGGUAGACCUCCCAAUAUCGGUUCAAGCUAUUUCAGAGUUGCUAAAGGCCAGUGUCUGCUGUAUAUCUCUCAUUUUUCCUCUUUCCAAAGAGGAAUGUUUGUUGGAGUCAUCUGUUCCCUGUUUCAUCUUUGUAAGUUAGGUGUGUGUGGGGUAGGUAACUUGUCUUUUUACUGCAUAACUCUCCAGAACAAGAGGAGCCACACCCAGGCCCAGUUUAGUGACUGGGUAUCACCUGAACAGGCUGAAUUGUGUCCCCCCAAAUUCAUAUGUUGGAGCCCUAACCUCCAGUGCAUUUGGAGACAGGGCCUUUAGGAGGUCAUUAAGAUGAAGUCAAGUCAUAAGUGGGGGGGCCCUGAUCCAAUAGGACUGGUGUCUUUAUAAGAAGAGGAAGAGACAUCAGUAAUGCAUGCACACAGAAAAAUAAGCCAUGUGAGGACAUGGUGAGAAGACGGCCAUCUGCAAGCUAAGAAGAGCGGACCCAGGAGAAACCAAACCUGAAGAUACCUUGAUCUUGGACUUCCACCCUCCAAAAUUUUGAGAAAGUUUUAUUAAGCUUCUCGGUCUGUGGUAUUUUGUUAUGGGGGCCCUAGCAAACUAACAUGCUCCUGAUGAAGAUAGUACCAUGCAUUACCCAGAGGUACUUGAUCCGUGACUGAAUGAGACUUUUGAGUUGUCUCUCCUGGGGAGAGAAUAAAUGAAUUUUGCUCAAGAAAGAAACACUGAACUGAUCAUUUGGUGACUGGAGAGGUGGAUUGUAGCUACAUGAGGACUCCAGACAUUCACCAAUAUUCCAGCAUGGCAGGAUUAUACUUCCAUGUCCCCUUGGAUGUAGGAAUGGUCAUGUGGCUCACGUGGCCAAUUAAAUGUAAGCAGAAAUGACAGGUGUUUCUUCUAGGCAGAAUCAAUCCCUUAAGAGCUAAAGUACAAUUUGCCGUGUUCCCUUCCUCCUGUCACUGCAAUCUGUGACAUUCCAGAUGGUAGAGUGUGAGCCAGCCUGUGUUCCUGAAUGCAGAUGACAUGGAGCAGAGUUCCAGCCAAUCUGCAAUAGUUGUGGGCAUGGGUGAGAAAUAAUGUUUAAAGUUAAUGAAUUUUUGGAAUUGUUUAUUACUGUGGCAUAAUCUAGUCUAUUUUGACUGAUCUAAUCAAUAUUAACGGUAGGGAAAAUUUCCAAAAUCCUCAUAGAAUUCAGUUGUAUGGUGUGAUCAAUUAAUUCAAUGUAUUGGGUUUUGUCCUUCAGUAAAUAAAGAAGUAGAGCUGACAUCCGAGGAUGCCCACCAAUCACUGAGCUGUGCUUUGUAUUAAAAGGUGAUGCUAUUGAAUCUCUGUCAG